AAGUCGUAACAAGGUUUCCGUAGGUGAACCUGCGGAAGGAUCAUUAUUGAAUUUAAUGUAGAGUUGGUUGUAGCUGGCCUAAUUAAUAAUUUGGGCAUGUGCACACCUUCUCUUUCAUCCACACACACCUGCGCACCUGUGAGACAGAGUGGGAAUUUUAAUUUAAUUUAAUUGGACCCUCUGUCUACUUAAUUCACACAAACUCUAUUUAUUAUAAAAUGAAUGUAAUUGAUGUAACGCAUCUAAUACUAAGUUUCAACAACGGAUCUCUUGGCUCUC
rnacentral:misc_RNA from 1 species